rnacentral:ncRNA from 2 species
CCAAUAGCGUAUAUUAAAGUUGUUGCAGUUAAAAAGCUCGUAGUUGAAUUUCGGAAUCAAUUUGUUGGUCGUGCCUCGGUACGUACUGGUAUUAUUGGUUUCUACCUUCUGAAGAACCUUGAUGUCAUUAAUUUGGUGUCUUGGGGAAUCAGGACUGUUACUUUGAAAAAAUUAGAGUGUUUAAAGCAAGCAUACGCUUGAAUACAUUAGCAUGGAAUAAUGAAAUAGGACGUUUGAUUCUAUUUUGUUGGUUUCUAGGAUCGACGUAAUGAUUAAUAGGGAUAGUUGGGGGCAUUAGUAUUCAAUUGUCAGAGGUGAAAUUCUUGGAUUUAUUGAAGACUAACUACUGCGAAAGCAUUUGCCAAGGAUGUUUUCAUUAAUCAAGAACGAAAGUUAGGGGAUCGAAGACGAUCAGAUACCGUCGUAGUCUUAACCAUAAACUAUGCCGACUAGGGAUCGGAUGAUGUUAAUUUUUUAAUGACUCAUUCGGCGCCUUACG